UACGUAGGGGGCAAGCGUUGUCCGGAUUUAUUGGGCGUAAAGAGCGUGUAGGCGGCUAGAUAGGUCCGUUGUGAAAACUCGAGGCUCAACCUCGAGACGUCGAUGGAAACCAUCUGGCUAGAGUCCGGAAGAGGAGAGUGGAAUUCCUGGUGUAGCGGUGAAAUGCGCAGAUAUCAGGAGGAACACCGGUGGCGAAGGCGGAUCUCUGGGCCAUUACUGACGCUGAGGAGCGAAAGCGUGGGGAGCGAACAGG
rnacentral:rRNA from 1 species